rnacentral:rRNA from 1 species
CAUGCUUACACAUGCAGUCGUACCAGCAGUCACCGCGGAUGACUUGCUCUGGUGGCGAGUGGCGAACGGGUGAGUAAUAUAUCGGAACGUACCCAGGAGUGGGGGAUAACGUAGCGAAAGUUACGCUAAUACCGCAUACGUCCUAAGGGAGAAAGUGGGGGAUCGCAAGACCUCAUGCUCAUGGAGCGGCCGAUAUCUGAUUAGCUAGUUGGUGGGGUAAAAGCCUACCAAGGCAACGAUCAGUAGCUGGUCUGAGAGGACGACCAGCCACACUGGAACUGAGACACGGUCCAGACUCCUACGGGAGGCAGCAGUGGGGAAUUUUGGACAAUGGGCGCAAGCCUGAUCCAGCAAUGCCGCGUGAGUGAAGAAGGCCUUCGGGUUGUAAAGCUCUUUUGUCAGGGAAGAAAAGGUCUUGGCUAAUAUCCGUGCCUCAUGACGGUACCUGAAGAAUAAGCACCGGCUAACUACGUGCCAGCAGCCGCGGUAAUACGUAGGGUGCAAGCGUUAAUCGGAAUUACUGGGCGUAAAGCGUGCGCAGGCGGUUUUGUAAGACUGUCGUGAAAUCCCCGGGCUCAACCUGGGAAUGGCGAUGGUGACUGCAAGGCUAGAGUUUGGCAGAGGGGGGUAGAAUUCCACGUGUAGCAGUGAAAUGCGUAGAUAUGUGGAGGAACACCGAUGGCGAAGGCAGCCCCCUGGGUCAAAACUGACGCUCAUGCACGAAAGCGUGGGGAGCAAACAGGAUUAGAUACCCUGGUAGUCCACGCCCUAAACGAUGUCUACUAGUUGUCGGGUCUUAAUUGACUUGGUAACGCAGCUAACGCGUGAAGUAGACCGCCUGGGGAGUACGGUCGCAAGAUUAAAACUCAAAGGAAUUGACGGGGACCCGCACAAGCGGUGGAUGAUGUGGAUUAAUUCGAUGCAACGCGAAAAACCUUACCUACCCUUGACAUGGCAGGAAUCCUGGAGAGAUUUGGGAGUGCUCGAAAGAGAACCUGCACACAGGUGCUGCAUGGCUGUCGUCAGCUCGUGUCGUGAGAUGUUGGGUUAAGUCCCGCAACGAGCGCAACCCUUGUCAUUAGUUGCUACGCAAGAGCACUCUAAUGAGACUGCCGGUGACAAACCGGAGGAAGGUGGGGAUGACGUCAAGUCCUCAUGGCCCUUAUGGGUAGGGCUUCACACGUCAUACAAUGGUACAUACAGAGGGCCGCCAACCCGCGAGGGGGAGCUAAUCCCAGAAAGUGUAUCGUAGUCCGGAUCGUAGUCUGCAACUCGACUACGUGAAGUUGGAAUCGCUAGUAAUCGCGGAUCAGCAUGUCGCGGUGAAUACGUUCCCGGGUCUUGUACACACCGCCCGUCACACCAUGGGAGCGGGUUUUACCAGAAGUAGGUAGCUUAACCUGCAAGGAGGGCGCGUACCAC